GUAGGUGGCAAGCGUUGUCCGGAAUUAUUGGGCGUAAAGCGCGCGCAGGCGGUUCUUUAAGUCUGAUGUGAAAGCCCACGGGCUCAACCGUGGAGGGUCAUUGGAAACUGGAGAACUUGAGUACAGAAGAGGAAAGCGGAAUUCCACGUGUAGCGGUGAAAUGCGUAGAGAUGUGGAGGAACACCAGUGGCGAAGGCGGCUUUCUGGUCUGUAACUGACGCUGAGGCGCGAAAGCGUGGGGAGCAAACAGGAUUAGAUACCCUGGUAGUCCACGCCGUAAACGAUGAGUGCUAAGUGUUAGGGGGUUUCCGCCCCUUAGUGCUGCAGCUAACGCAUUUAGCACUCCGCCUGGGGAGUACGGCCGCAAGGCUG
rnacentral:rRNA from 1 species